CAAACCUGAACUCCAGGCGGGGGGGAGAUUCUAGAGCCAAAAUUCUGUCCUUCUGACCUCUGGCUCCAGUCAGAAGCGCAGAGGAGCGCACAGGCUACCAGGCGCCAAACCAAGACACGUGGACAGGAGGGAGAAAGUGAGCAGAUCCUUGUGGAAGGGGUAUAAUGUCUAGGGGUAAGGAUGACUGAUCCCUGUGGGAAAGUGGCUCUGAUCCCAUGGACAGAGAGGCCUAUUUCCCAUGAAGAGGGAGAAGCAGGUAGGGGUGGGGGUAGGGUGAACUGAUUAGCCUAAGCCCUGGAAGGGGGUCUCCUGAGAGUCAGGGCGUAGCCCUUGGAGGAGAAGGGGUCCUGCAGGGAGCUUUGAACCCAGUCCUGGUCUUUUCAGGAAGCCGCCUUGGUCCUCCAGAGAGAGGUGGAGCUAGAUAGCAAUAUGGAGGUUAGGCUGGGUGACCUAGGUUAGUUUAGCGCCUGUACCUUGCCAGCUGGACCCAACUUCCGAAGGCCAGAGUUGUGGCCCUCUUGCCCCUCCUUCACCACUGUCGGCCUAUUCAGGAUGAAAGAGGCCAGGGGUGCGUCGGGGUGGUCCUGCAGAAGGGAAGGGAGGCCCCCUCCACAGGCUACAUGGUACCUUCUCAGAUCUAGAGAUGAGCUUCACUAGCCUUUCCUCCCCGAACCUCAGUUUAAAGGUCAGGGGUGAGGAGGCCUAAGGGUCGGUGAACAGGUGCAGGCAAACAUGGGAAGAACUGAGUGGAGGGGACCGUCUUUUGAAAGCAGUGUCAGGGCUGUUGCCAGAGAGUUGGCCUCCCGCUGAGCCCUGAUAACCUUCCACACUGUGCCACGACCACAGAUUAGCAUGAUGGCUCCUCCGCGGGCCUUGGCUCUUGGGCAGGAACAGCCUCCUGCAUCCAUUAGACACGGGGGCAGCACACCUGAGAGCAAGACACGAGCCACCGAUGAACAGGAAACCUCCCCAACACAUUGGCCCAGGCCACAACCACAAACCCACGGCCUCACACCCUGCAGACGCAGACGAGACCACCCACGCCCGACACUGGCGCCCACCACCCACCGCCGCUGUGAAAACACUCCUACCCAGAACCGCCAGGCAAACGGGCCGCUCCUAAUCACACAUCCCUCCUCGGUAAGGAGCCCACUCCGGGUCCUGGGCCCGCCCCCUCCCCACGUGUAGUCCGGGACUCCAGCUGCGCCCAGUGACUCCC
rnacentral:lncRNA from 1 species